CAACUACUCCCUCUGUCCCAAAUUUCUUGUCUUAGAUUUGUCUAGAUACGGAUGUAUCUAAUACUAAAAUGUGACUUGAUACAUCCGUAUGUAGACAAAUCUAAGACAAGAAUUUUGGGACGGAGGGAGUACUUU
rnacentral:pre_miRNA from 1 species